rnacentral:misc_RNA from 1 species
AAGGGUGGCAUGAUUGAGUUUUGGUUGAUAGAGAAAAUCAAUUGAAGUUGGGUACAAAUGUGAAAUUGACAUGGAAAAGUUGUAGCCAUGAAUAAAAUGAUAAAUUUAUUUCAUAGAAGUUGUUAAUUCUGGUGAACAUGGUCCCUGCCUACCAUGAAAUAUAGAUGAAAGGGAGCUUGAUUUUAGGGGAUCACAUUUCUUCAAAGAAAAAAAGCAAGUUUGAACUCAUCUCCAAGGAGUUUAAUUGUUUAUCAUAACAUUGUUGGUGAUA